CAAGCGUUAUCCGGAAUUAUUGGGCGUAAAGCGCGCGUAGGCGGUUUUUUAAGUCUGAUGUGGAAGCCCACGGCUCAACCGUGGAGGGUCAUUGGAAACUGGAAAACUUGAGUGCAGAAGAGGAAAGUGGAAUUCCAUGUAUAGCGGUGAAAUGCGCAGAGAUAUGGAGGAACACCAGUGGCGAAGGCGACUUUCUGGUCUGUAACUGACGCUGAUGUGCGAAAGCGUGGGGAUCAAACAGGAUUAGAUACCCUGGUAGUCAACGGCG
rnacentral:rRNA from 1 species